rnacentral:rRNA from 1 species
CUACUCUCAGUUCGGAUUGUAGGCUGAAACUCGCCUACAUGAAGCUGGAGUUACUAGUAAUCGCAGAUCAGAAUGCUGCGGUGAAUGCGUUCCCGGGUCUUGUACACACCGCCCGUCACACCACGGGCGUUGGAGACGCCCGAAGCCGAUUAUCUAACCUUUUGGAAGAAGUCGUCGAAGGUGGAAUCAAUAACUGGGGUGAAGUCGUAACAAGGUAGCCGUAUCGGAAGGUGCGGCUGGAUCACCUCCUUUCUAAGGA